CGCCAGCGCCCGCUCGCCCGCCGUUCACGCCGUCCCGCAGGUCCUGUCCCACUGCCAGUGAGGAAGACGCCCCCGAGAACAACGACACCUGCCAACCCCAGGGACUUUCUGGGAGUCAUAUUUUGCAGGCUUGUCCAGAGGGCCCUGGAUGACAAGGACCCCUUUUGAACACGCUCAACUUUAUUGUUCCCCGCUUUGCGGACACGCCUGCGCCCGGCCGCGGCCCGCACUUUUCCUGCUGCGUGGCUCCGCUUGGGUUCUGGGUCAGGUUCCAGUCACACCCUGCUCCGUGCAAAGUUAGUGUGGGCCGGAAUCGUAAUGAACCCCAAACCUAGAGACCUCCAGGACGAUGAAGGAGGGGUAAAAGCACGGCGCCACCUAGCUCCGCAGGGAGGCCGCACCUGGGCGCCGGGUGCAGGCAGGUGCACGCAGAUGUGCGCAUGUGACCACAGCGUCUGCAACUUUCGGAAACCUUGUCAUCUUGCGUGAUUUUCCGCCGCUGGUUUGUGGAGCGCGUCCAGCGCAGGACUACAGCUAGACCUAGAAGCUGCCCAGAAUUCUGGUAAAGGUCUGCCAUGGAGAAUGGGACAUGGACCCUAAUUGUGCCCACUUCUCCAUUCCUGCUGCAAAUCCUAAGAGGAUGCAUCCCACACUUAGAUGGAGCUCCUGGAAGAGAGGGAGUCCUGCUCCUAUGUGAAAUUGAGUGGUGCUCCGUAUGUUUGCCAGAGCUGUGCACGCGUCACCACCAUGUAGUUCGAGAACAUUCUUCUCAGCCCAAGAAGAAAGCCAUGCCACUGAGCAGUCCCUGGAAACCAUGAAGCUUCUGUGUGUCUCUACAGAUUUGCUUGAACAAAAAUCCCCCACUUCUCCUUCAGCCCAGCCUCUGGAAACCACCAUUCCACUUUCUGUUUCUAUGUGUCUGAUUACUACAGAUACUUCAUAUCAAUGGAAUCAUACAGUAUUUAUCUUUUUGUGGCUGGCUUGUUUCAAUUUAGUGUCAUGUCUUCAAGGUUCAUCCAUGUUAUGGGAUGUGACAGGGUUUCCUCCUUUUUAGAGGCCACAAAUAUUCCACUUUCUUUACAUAUCACAUUUUUUAAUCCCUUCAUCCCAUCAGUGGAAAUGUGGGUUGCUCCCACCUCCCUGCUCUCUUGAACAAUACUGCAGUGAUCAUGGGUGUGCCAAUAUCUCUUUGAGAUAUUGCUUUCAAUUCUGUGAAGAGAUACCCAGAAGUGGGAUUGCUGGAUCAUGUAGUAAACCUACUUUUACUUUUUCUGAGGCAUUCCAUACUUUUUUUUCAUAGCAGCUGCACCAUUCUGCAUUCCCGUCAACAGAGCAUGGAGGUUCCAAUUUUUCACAUCAUUGCCAACACUUAUUAUUUUCUUGUUUUUGUUUUUUGGGUUUUUUGUUUCUGAUAGUGCUAACCUACUGGGUAUGAGAUAAUAUCUCAUUAUGGUUUUGAUUUGCCUUGGUUUGUUAGUUAAUAGUGUGGAGCAUACUUUUAUCUGCUUGUUUGCUAUUUGUAUGUCUUCUUUGGAAAAAUAUCUGUUUGAUUCCUUGCCAGUUUUGUAAUCAGGUUAUUUUUAUUGUUGUUGUUGUUGUUGUUGAAUUGUAGGAAUUCUUUAUGUAUUCUUGUUAAACCUGUACAGAUGUAGAAUUUCAGAGCUUCUCCCAUUCCAUGGGUUGCCUUUCUGCUCUGUCAGCUGUUUCCAUGGAUGCACAGGAGUUUUGUUUUGUUUUUAAAGAUUUUAUUUAUUUAUUUGACAGACAGAGAUUACAAGUAGAGAGGCAGGCAGAGAAAGGGGAAGGGAAGCAGGACCCCCGCUGAGCAGAGAGAGCCUCGGGGCUCGAUCCCAUCCUGGGAUCAGGACCAGAGCCGAAGGCAGAGGCUUAACCCACUGAGCCACCCAAGCACCCCUGCACAGGAGUUUUUAAGUUUCAUGUGGUUCCAUCUGUUUUUGCUUUUGUUGUCUGUGCAUUGGUGUCAUAUGCAAGAAAUCAUUAUCAAAUCCAACGUAAUGGAGCUUUCCUGCAUAUUUUCUUAUGGGAGUUCUGCAUUUUUCUUUUACUUUUAAGGACAAUUUUCUGGAUAUAGAAUUCUUUGUUUGCGACUUUGUUCUGUUUUGUUUUCUUCUUCUAGCACUUUGAUUCUGUUACCCCAGUAUCUUUGGGUCUCCAGGGUUUCUCGUAAGAAAUCAACUUUAAUCUCAUUGAGAUUUUGACUCUAAUCUUAUUGAGAUGCAUGAGUAGUUACUUCUCUCUUUUGCUUUCAAAAUUCCAUCUUUGACUUUAAAUAGUUUGAUUAUAUUGUGUCUUGGUGUGGCUCUCUUUUGAGUUUUCCUACUUAGCAUUUACUGAGCAUGUUGAAUGUGUAGAUUCAUGUACAUAGUGGUCAUUAUUUUUUUCAAAUAUUCUUCCUGUUCCUUUCUCUCUCUCCUUUUCUGGCACAUAUGUUGGCAUUUAAUAGUGUCCCACAGGUUUCAUAGGGUCUGACCAUUAUUCUUUGUUUUUCCUUUCUUCCUCUUAGACUAUGUCAUUUCAACUAGUCUAUCUUCAAGUUUGCUGAUUAUUUUUCCGCCUGCUCAAAUCUACUGUUGACACUCCACUGUGAAUUUUUCAUUCUAACUCCUUAAAUCCUACACAGUAGUGUGCCCCCUUCCUGGGGUUUUUUCUUUAUUGUUUUUUUUUUAAGAUUUUAUUUAUUUAUUUGACAGACAGAGAUCACAACUAGGCAGAGAGGCAGGCAGAGAGAGAGGAAGGGAAGCAGGCU